rnacentral:piRNA from 1 species
UAGGACAGUGCCGAGGGCAAUGGCGGGAG